GGUCUGGUGGUGUAGUUGGUUAUCACGUCAGUCUAACAACUCGAGGACAUUUCAAGAUAUCCUCACUGCACACUGAAGGUCUCCGGUUCAAGUCCGGGCUAGAUCA
rnacentral:tRNA from 1 species